rnacentral:misc_RNA from 1 species
GGCGGAGCUCCUCCCUAUUACUUAGCACUCACAUUACUCAGAUACAAUCUGUGAGCAGUAAGGAACUCGAUCUUCAAUCGGUAUAGGGAUCAAACCAUGAGCAAUGCGAAGGAGACCGGAGAUGCAGCUCCCGCACACCAUUUGGCAGCAGAUGCAUCCAAAUUUGCGUCAAACAUAACCCACCAUGUUGCUGCAUUUUUAAGGUAUAAGGAUCAAUCCAUGGGCAAUGUGAAGGAGACAGGAGAUGCUGCUCCAAAUAUCAGUGAUAAAGUUACAGCAGCCGCACACCCUUUGGCGGCAGAUACAUCAGAAAUUGCAUCAAACAUAGCCUACCAUGCUCAGUACACUCCUCAUUUUUCCCCUCUCAAGUUUGAUCUGGAGCCAGCUUACUAUGCAACAGCCGAGAGUGUUCGCGACUACCUGAUUCAGAGGUGGAACGAAACGUACUUGCAUUUUCACAUAACUGAUCCAAAACAGACAUACUACCUGUCCAUGGAAUAUCUGCAAGGCCGUUCUCUCACCAAUGCUGUUGGAAACCUUGGCACCAUAAAUGCAUAUGCUGAUGCUUUAAAUAAGUUAGGGCAUGAACUUGAGGAAAUUGCCGAGCAGGAAAAAGAUGCUGCUUUGGGAAAUGGUGGCUUGGGCAGGCUUGCAUCAUGCUUUCUAGAUUCAAUGGCAACGCUAAAUCUUCCUGCUUGGGGUUAUGGUUUACGGUACAGAUAUGGCCUAUUUAAACAGAAAAUCAGUGAGGAAGGCCAGGA